GAUGAACGCUGGCGGCGCGCCUAACACAUGCAAGUCGAACGAUUAAAGCACCUUCGGGGGCGUAUAAAGUGGCGAACGGCUGAGUAACACGCGGGCAACCUGCCUCUCUCAUUGGGAUAGCCACGGGAAACCGUGGAUAAUACCGAACACUUCGAGACUUCCGCAUGGAAGACCCGAGAAAGCUCCGGCGGAGAGGGAUGGGCACGCGCCCUGUUGGCUUGUAGGCGGGGUAAGGGCCUACCAAGGCAAAGCCGGGUAGCGGGGGUGAGAGGCCGGCCAGCCAGAUCAGGCCUGAGCCACGGCCCAGACCCCACCGGUACGCAGCGGUGGGGAGUCGUGCACUAUGGGCGGGGGCCAGGUGCGGCGCCGCCGCGUGCGGUGUGAAGGCCUUCGGGUUGUGUUCCACUUUCAGCAGGGACGGGGCGAAAGUGACGGUACCUGCAGAAGAAGCCCCGGCUAACUACGUG
rnacentral:rRNA from 1 species